UGGAAGUAAAAGUCGUAACAAGGUUUCCGUAGGUGAACCUGCGGAAGGAUCAUUACUGAUUUGCUUAAUUGCACCACAUGUGUUUUUCUUUGAAACAAACUUGCUUUGGCGGUGGGCCCAGCCUGCCGCCAGAGGUCUAAACUUGCAACCAAUUUUUUAUCAACUUGUCACACCAGAUUAUUACUAAUAGUCAAAACUUUCAACAACGGAUCUCUUGGUUCUCGCAUCGAUGAAGAACGCAGCGAAAUGCGAUACGUAAUAUGAAUUGCAGAUAUUCGUGAAUCAUCGAAUUUUUGAACGCACAUUGCGCCCUCUGGUAUUCCGGAGGGCAUGCCUGUUUGAGCGUCGUUUCUCCCUCAAACCGCUGGGUUUGGUGUUGAGCAAUACGACUUGGGUUUGCUUGAAAGACGGUAGUGGUAAGGCGGGAUCGCUUUGACAAUGGCUUAGGUCUAACCAAAAACAUUGCUUGCGGCGGUAACGUCUACCACGUAUAUCUUCAAACUUUGACCUCAAAUCAGGUAGGACUACCCGCUGAACUUAAGCAUAUCAAUAAGCGGAGGAA
rnacentral:misc_RNA from 1 species